rnacentral:rRNA from 1 species
AUUGAACGCUGGCGGCAGGCCUAACACAUGCAAGUCGAGCGAGCGGCGGACGGGUGAGUAAUGUAUUGGGAUCUGCCUGACAGAGGGGGAUAACUACUGGAAAAGGUGGCUAAUACCGCAUACUAUCGGAUGAACCCAUCUGGGAUUAGCUAGUAGGUGGGGUAAAGGCACACCUAGGCGACGAUCUCUAGCAGGUCUGAGAGGAAGAGCGGCCACACUGGGACUGAGACACGGCCCAGACUCCUACGGGAGGCAGCAGUGGGGAAUAUUGCGCAAUGGACGAAAGCCUGAUGGAGCCAUGCCGCGUGUGUGAAGAAGGCCUUAGGGUCGUAAAGUACUUUCAGCAGGGAGGCGUUACCCGCAGAAAAAGCACCGGCUAACUCCGUGCCAGCCGCCGCGGUAAUUC